CUGGAUCAGGGUUUUUAGCAAGCAAAAGCAGGACUGAUUCAAUCUAUAUAUUUAAAACCAAAUAUUUAUUAACCAUAUAAAAUGGCCCAAGGGUUUUAAAUAUAUAGAUUGAGUCAGUCCUGCUUUUGCUUGCUAAAAACCCAAUUCAGCUCCCCCCUCCCAUCUCUGUUGUCUUGGUAGGAGAAGCAACAGUGUGAUAGGCUGUAAAUAAUCACGUGGUACCAGGAAUCCUCAGGACAGAAAGAAGAAGUGAACUGCUGCUGGGAGAGUGUCCUGGAACGAGGAUUGAUUUUUCCCAUAAGCGCACCUUUGAAGGAUUUGUACUAAGGAACAAGCUCUGACUGCAUAGAGCACGUGAUUAAUACGGCACAAUGGCGGGGAAACUGGAUCCGCGGGAGGUGCAGAGUGUUCAUGAAAGACUGAGCGGGAUUAUCACAAGUUUGGAUGCUUCUGUUAAGUCCCUUGAUGAAUGUCAGAAAAAGCUGGACAAAUCCUUACAAUGUCAAGGAUAUUUAAAUCAUUGUUUAAAGCCCAUCCAAACUGGAUUUGUUCCAAAUAAAAAUGAAAAAAGCAGUUCGGAUGCUGCAGCAAUUUAAGUUUUGUCAGGGGACGGAAGAAAUAACAAAAUAUUUUCAGACUUUGUAAAUAAAAAUCUGUUUACCAUAUUUUUUUCUUUUGUAUGUGGUUGUUACAGCUAUUUGAUUGUCAUGUUAGAAAUUAGCGGUAAAAACUCAAUUCAUUUGUGAAUUCUUUCAAACGUCAGAAAUAAAAUGUGACAUAUUGUA